rnacentral:tRNA from 2 species
GCCCGAGUGGCGGAAUGGUAGACGCAGCGGAUUCAAAAUCCGCCGCCCAAAAGGCGUGGGGGUUCGACUCCCCCCUCGGGCACCA